rnacentral:miRNA from 1 species
CGGCAGAUAAGAACCAUUCGGCCCAUCUAGUCUGCCCAAUUUUCUAAAUACUUUCAGAAAAUUGGGCAGACUAGAUGGGCCGAAUGGUUCUUAUCUGCC